GUUUGAUCCUGGCUCAGAACGAACGCUGGCGGCAGGCCUAACACAUGCAAGUCGAGCGAGACCUUCGGGUUUAGCGGCGGACGGGUUAGUAACGCGUGGGGAACGUGCCCUUCUCUAAGGAAUAGCCACUGGAAACGGUGAGUAGUACCUUAUACGCCCUUCGGGGGAAAGAUUUAUCGGAGAAGGAUCGGCCCGCGUUAGAUUAGGUAGUUGGUGGGGUAAUGGCCUACCAAGCCUACGAUCUAUAGCUGGUUUUAGAGGAUGAUCAGCAACACUGGGACUGAGACACGGCCCAGACUCCUACGGGAGGCAGCAGUGGGGAAUCUUGGACAAUGGGCGCAAGCCUGAUCCAGCCAUGCCGCGUGAGUGAUGAAGGCCUUAGGGUCGUAAAGCUCUUUCGCCAGGGAUGAUAAUGACAGUACCUGGUAAAGAAACCCCGGCUAACUCCGCG
rnacentral:rRNA from 1 species